GGUUAUCUCUUGGGGUUGACCGAGAAAGCUCAUCUUGAUUUUGCAGAGUGGUUUCCCCUGAGAUCCAAUGUACACAUUGGCGUACACAUAAAAGUUCUCUUGGCAGUUUGAAUUCGGUAUGAGAGUAGGCCAUAGUGUCGCUGCCCAGACAAACAUUUUCACUUAGCACAAUGCAUUAGACCAGUCGGAGCUGACCAGUAGGACGUUGUCUUUAAACCCCAUUUCAUUUCAGUAAAGAAUCUUUAGGAUCAGGUGGUAUAAGUAAAUUUGAAAUGCACAGAGCCGCAGAAUUCUUGGAUCAUAAUACCUUCGUCAUUCUGGAGGAAGAAGAUGACCCAGCAGUUCUUCUUGACCACGUCAACAACCAGCACCCGAAGAUUAAGUUUACUAUGGAGAAAAGGGUCAUGAAAUCGUUCCUCUUCCUAGAUGGUCAUGUCCAUAGAGUAAAGAAUCUUUAGAUAGAGGUAAUGAUGCCAUUAAAAAGAGUGUGUACCGUAAACCUACCAACACGGACCAAUACAUCAACUUUAACUCCACACAUCCAACCAGUGUUAAAUCAUCCGUAGUUUCCUGU